AUUGAACGCUGGCGGCAGGCCUAACACAUGCAAGUCGAACGGUAACAGGAAGCAGCUUGCUGCUUUGCUGACGAGUGGCGGACGGGUGAGUAAUGUCUGGGAAACUGCCUGAUGUAGGGGGAUAACUACUGGAAACGGUAGCUAAUACCGCAUAACGUCGCAAGACCAAAGAGGGGGACCUUCGGGCCUCUUGCCAUCGGAUGUGCCCAGAUGGGAUUAGCUAGUAGGUGGGGUAACGGCUCACCUAGGCGACGAUCCCUAGCUGGUCUGAGAGGAUGACCAGCCACACUGGAACUGAGACACGGUCCAGACUCCUACGGGAGGCAGCAGUGGGGAAUAUUGCACAAUGGGCGCAAGCCUGAUGCAGCCAUGCCGCGUGUAUGAAGAAGGCCUUCGGGUUGUAAAGUACUUUCAGCGGGGAGGAAGGGAGUAAAGUUAAUACCUUGGCUCAUUGACGUUACCCGAAGAAGAAGCACCGGCUAACUCCGUG
rnacentral:rRNA from 1 species